rnacentral:rRNA from 1 species
CGCGUAGGCGGAGGACCAAGUCCGGGGUGAAAUCUUUCGGCUCAACCGGAAAACUGCCUUGGAUACUGGUCUUCUUGAGGGAGGUAGGGGCAGGUGGAACUUCCGGUGGAGCGGUGAAAUGCGUUGAUAUCGGAAGGAACGCCGGUGGCGAAAGCGGCCUGCUGGAUCUCUUCUGACGCUGAGGCGCGGAAGCUAGGGUAGCGAAG